CCUACGGGAGGCAGCAGUGGGGAAUAUUGGGCAAUGGGCGCAAGCCUGACCCAGCAACGCCGCGUGAAGGAAGAAGGCUCUCGGGUUGUAAACUUCUUUUAUCAGGGACGAAGCAAGUGACUGUACCUGAUGAAUCAGCCACGGCUAACUACGUGCAAGCAGCCGCGGUAAUACGUAGGUGGCAAGCGUUCUCCGGAUUUACUGGGGGUAAAGGGCGUGUAGGCGGGAAAGCAAGUCAGAUGUGAAAACCAUGGGCUCAACCUGUGGCCUGCAUUUGAAACUGGUUUUCUUGAGUACUGGAGAGGCAGACGGAAUUCCUAGUGUAGCGGUGAAAUGCGUAGAUAGUAGGAGGAACACCAGUGGCGAAGGCGGUCAGCUGGACAGCAACUGACGCUGAGGCGCGAAAGCGUGGGGAGCAAACAGGAUUAGAUACCCCUGUAGUC
rnacentral:rRNA from 1 species